rnacentral:rRNA from 1 species
UUGAAGGACCACCAGUGGCGAAGGCGUCUCACCAGAACGGACCUGACGGCAAGGGACGAAAGCUAGGGGCACGAACCGGAUUAGAUACCCGGGUAGUCCUAGCCGUAAACGAUACUCGCUAGGUGUCGGCCACGGUGCGACCGUUGUCGGUGCCGUAGGGAAGCCGUGAAGCGAGCCACCUGGUAAGUACGGCCGCAAGUUGAAACUUAAGGGAUUGGGCGGGGGAGCACCACAACGGGUGGAGCUUGCGGUUUAAUUGGAUUCAACGCCGGAAAUCUUACCGGGACCGACAGCAAUAUGAAGGCCAGCUGAAGACUUGCCGGAUUAGCUUGAAAAGGUGGUGCAUGGCCGUCGUCAGUUCGUACUUGUAAGCAUCCUGUUAAGUNAGGCAACGAGCGAGACCCACGCCCACAGUUGCCAGCGUACUCUCUGGAGUGACGGGUACACUGUGGGGACUGCCGCUGCUAAAGCGGAGGAAGGAAUGGGCAACGGUAGGU